GUAAAAAAUCUUACCUAAUUUACCCUGUUGUUUUUUAAUGCAGUGUCAUCACUGGAUUGUUUAUAGCCGCUGGACAGCAGGGAGAAAAUGGGGGGAGAAUCAUCAGUGAAGUAAAAGAUCUGUGCUGGGUGGAUGAUGAAUAUAGCAAGCAGACAGCAAAAGCAUUGCAACAUCCAGAAUUGUUCAGCCUCCCCUGAUCAUUGCACCUGCCAAGUAUAUGCUAGAAAUUUCUCCCAAACACCAGGAAGCAUGGUGCAGGAAGCUUAUGGGGGAAGAGGUAAUUGGCCACCUCCUUGUUGUGCUGAUGGAAGUUGUUCUGCUGCCUGGGUGUGUGUGUC
rnacentral:lncRNA from 1 species